UACGGGGGGGCAAGCGUUGUUCGGAAUUACUGGGCGUAAAGCGCGUGUAGGCGGCUACGCAAGUCGGAUGUGAAAUCCCGUGGCUCAACCACGGAAGUGCACCCGAAACUGCGCAGCUGGGAGUCUCGGAGAGGAAGGUGGAAUGCUUGGUGUAGAGGUGAAAUUGUAGAUAUCAAGCGGAACACCGGUGGCGAAGGCGGCCUUCUGGACGAUGACUGA
rnacentral:rRNA from 1 species